AGGAAAUCCAGGGCCUCACCUUCCCAGGGUUGCCCCAGGCAACCUCUGUUUGUAAAGAAUCCUGUUUAUUAUCUACUGACUCAUGGUCAUCUGUGGUUGCUAUGGUUCCCACCAACAAUGAAGCAUAAAUCCAUUCCUAGAGGGUGGGGUCUGCAAGGAGAAGGACAUUGUCAUCUUCAUUAGAUUGUUUAUAUUCAGCUUGGUGUCAGACUACUGUGGUGGACAUUCUUGGGGAAGGUGAUUUGCCACACCACCAGGAACUACAUCUCAUCGUGACUCUGGCCCGCAUCCCACUGAGCAACCCCAACUCCUCAUGGGAGUUCAUGGAAGCCACGGCCACCCAGCAUUGCCACAGCAAGAAGGCUCAGGAGGUGCAUAACUGAUCUGCAGAUGAACCCAGCACCUACUCAGGAGGAACCCAAAUGGAAUCAAGGAGUGGAACAUAAAAAUCGGUUUCUUAUGCCUCUGCACUUCACCUUUCUCCUGUUCAUCCCACUCUGCCAUCAUUGCCUGCUUGCCUCCGAAUUGCCCACGACAGUGCAGUCUGGGCACGGAUCACACCUCCCAUGCAGCGGUGGCUUUGUGAUCUGUCCACCUGGGUAAGCUGAACCACACUUCCCAGAAUUCCCUUCCCGUGUGUUUCCGGUUAGAGUGGAGCACAGAGGAGAAACUUGUGGAAGGUUUGGAGGUGGGAAGUGAAGCAGCAGUCAUUUUACAGCUCACACGAAUUGUGGCUUCUCUGCUGGCUCACCUCAGCAGAGGCAGGAACUGACAUGGGGCCGGGUGCAGUGGCUCACGCCUGUAAUCCCAACACUUUGGAGAGGCCAAGGCAGGUGGAUUGCUUGAGACCGGGAGUUCAAGACCAGCCUGGGCAACAUGGCAAAACCCUUCUCUACAAAAAAUACAAACAUUAGCCAGGUGUGGUGGCUCAUGCCUGUAGUCCUAGCUACUUGGGAGGCUGAGUUGGGAGGAUUUGCUUGAGACCAGGAAGGUCAAGGCUGCAGGGAGCUGAGAUUGGGCCAUGACACUCCAGCCUGGGCAACAGAGUGAGACCCUGUCUCAAAAAAACAAAAAAGAACUGACACAGACGGAUGUGUCUGCCUUCAAGGGCUUCCACUUGGGCUUGUCCUCCCUUACUUUAUAUCCGUCUGUCCUUCCCGAUUGUCUGCAGAGCCUGCUUAAGCAGCCCCAGUGCCAGUGACUGUGUAAGGUCAAAUUCCCACAACAAAUCUCUUCAAACAAGUACCUCUUAGUGGUUCUGCUUUUCUGAUGAAACCCUGAUGGGUACACACUCAUUUAUUCAUUCAACCAAAAAAUAUUAACUGAUAAAAAAUACUGAACACUACCAUGCACCAGAUACUAGGUGCUAGGUAGUGAAUAAAACAAAGUUCCUGCCA